rnacentral:rRNA from 1 species
GCUUGACUGCGAGACCUACAAGUCGAGCAGGGUCGAAAGACGGACUUAGUGAUCCGGUGGUUCCGCAUGGAAGGGCCAUCGCUCAACGGAUAAAAGCUACCCCGGGGAUAACAGGCUUAUCUCCCCCAAGAGUUCACAUCGACGGGGAGGUUUGGCACCUCGAUGUCGGCUCAUCGCAUCCUGGGGCUGUAGUCGGUCCCAAGGGUUGGGCUGUUCGCCCAUUAAAGCGGUACGCGAGCUGGGUUCAGAACGUCGUGAGACAGUUCGGUCCCUAUCCGUCGUGGGCGUAGGAAAUUUGAGAGGAGCUGUCCUUAGUACGAGAGGACCGGGAUGGACAUACCUCUGGUGUACCAGUUGUCGUGCCAACGGCAUAGCUGGGUAGCUAUGUAUGGACGGGAUAAGUGCUGAAAGCAUCUAAGCAUGAAGCCCCCCUCAAGAUGAGAUUUCCCA